rnacentral:lncRNA from 1 species
UAGGAUUAGGGCUGGUAUGAUAUGCAAGGAUAUUUAAAUUGACUAAGCCUCCUUGGCACUACCCUAUUUUUGGGGUCUCACUUAUCAACCUUUACUUAAUUCUCUCCUUUCUUGAUCAUACAUACUCCGGAUGGGUGUGGUAUUUGUUUUGGUAAUUAUUUCUUUUUUUUUCCACAACUUUUCUUUUCUUAUUCUUUUUCCACCGCUCCCA